CCUACGGGAGGCAGCAGUGAGGAAUAUUGGUCAAUGGACGAGAGUCUGAACCAGCCAAGUAGCGUGAAGGAUGACUGCCCUAUGGGUUGUAAACUUCUUUUAUAUGGGAAUAAACUGUUCCACGUGUGGGAUUUUGUAUGUACCAUAUGAAUAAGGAUCGGCUAACUCCGUGCCAGCAGCCGCGGUAAUACGGAGGAUCCGAUCGUUAUCCGGAUUUAUUGGGUUUAAAGGGAGCGUAGGUGGAUUGUUAAGUCAGUUGUGAAAGUUUGCGGCUCAACCGUAAAAUUGCAGUUGAAACUGGCAGUCGUGAGUACAGUAGAGGUGGGCGGAAGUCGUGGUGUAGCGGUGAAAUGCUUAGUUAUCACGAAGAACUCCGAUUGCGAAGGCAGCUCACUGGACUGCAACUGACACUGAGGCUCGAAAGUGUGGGUAUCAAACAGGAUUAGAUACCCGGGUAGUC
rnacentral:rRNA from 1 species